rnacentral:rRNA from 1 species
GUGCUCUCGGGCCAGUUUUGCGGAGGCUGAAUUAUUUAUUACCCUUGUCUUUUGCGCACUUGUUGUUUCCUGGGCGGGUUCGCCCGCCACCAGGACCACAUCAUAAACCUUUUUUAUGCAGUUGCAAUCAGCGUCAGUAUAACAAAUGUAAAUCAUUUACAACUUUCAACAACGGAUCUCUUGGUUCUGGCAUCGAUGAAGAACGCAGCGAAAUGCGAUACGUAGUGUGAAUUGCAGAAUUCAGUGAAUCAUCGAAUCUUUGAACGCACAUUGCGCCCUUUGGUAUUCCAAAGGGCAUGCCUGUUCGAGCGUCAUUUGUACCCUCAAGCUUUGCUUGGUGUUGGGCGUUUUUUGUCUUUGGUUGCCAAAGACUCGCCUUAAAAGGAUUGGCAGCCGGCCUACUGGUUUCGCAGCGCAGCACAUUUUUGCGCUUGCAAUCAGCAAAAGAGGACGGCAAUCCAUCAAGACUCCUCUCACGUUGACCU